UACGAAGGGGGCUAGCGUUGUUCGGAAUACUGGGCGUAAAGCGCACGCAGGCGGAUUGAUAAGUCGGGGGUGAAAUCCCGGGGCUCAACCUCGGAAUUGCCUUCGAUACUGUUAGUCUUGAGUCCGGGAGAGGUGAGUGGAAUUCCUAGUGUAGAGGUGAAAUUCGUAGAUAUUAGGAAGAACACCAGUGGCGAAGGCGGCUCACUGGCCGGUACUGACGCUCAUGUGCGAAAGCGUGGGGAGCAAACAGG
rnacentral:rRNA from 1 species